rnacentral:misc_RNA from 1 species
AAGGAUCAUUAAAGAUUCUCCAAGGAUGUGCUGACAUUGCUUGCAAUGUAUGUGCACUCUGCUUUUAUAACCCCUGUGCACAUUAUGUAGGCAGGAUCAGAAUCACCUUCUGAUCCUUGUCUAUGUUUUUUAACACCUUUUAUAAAAAAAACUUGUUUUUUAUAUAAACGAAACAACUUUCAACAAUGGAUCUCUUGGUUCUC